GGUGCAUGGCAGUUCAUAGUUCGUGGAGGGAUUUGUCUGGUGAAUUCUGAUAACCAACGAGACUACAGACUAUUAAAUAGGUGCGGAGUACCAAGCACCUUACAACCUUUUUAGACGGACCAUAGGCUCCUAUCCGCACGAAACAGAGCAGUAACAGGUCUGUGUUGCU
rnacentral:rRNA from 1 species